UUCAUGUGCGUAAACGCGCGAGCUUUCCGCCGUUACUAAUAAUAAUAAUUUUGUCCCUUUCCCCGCUCUUGUCUCCCGCCUGUGCGCAAAAUAGCGAUGAAAGAGUCGCGCGCCGCAUCACUUACCGCUCUUGAACCUCUCGAGGUUACGUGUGAUGAACGGCGGACACAGUUUAGACCGACGGCUAAAUCGCAUAGCGUUUCACAUCCAUCUAUAUGCGUAACAUAGACGAGACAAUGCGUGUGCAUGAUAUGUGAUUCUCUCGUAACUUCUAUUACAGGUUUUCGGAUCGUAAUAGUGUAAUAAUGGCAGAGCACAAGUUGGGUUAAACUACGAGAUAUUGCGGAAAAAACUUGCGAUUCUGUCGCAUUGUCGUAGCCGUGACGAAUAGUUUCGUGGUAGUGCUCUUAUCCGGAGAAAUUGCGAAUGCAGUUUACGAGAGUCGUUAAUUCGAUGUUUCUAACGUGAAAAUAGGUAGUUUUAUUUAUUAAUUGUAAAGCGGAGUUUAUUAAAUUAGUUUGUCUAAGAGUUUAAAUUUUUAUUGCACAAAUGUGUCUGUUAAACAUAUUUUGGUGAAUUUUAAUAUAUGGAAGUUCUAAAAAAUCGUUGAUUACAGAUCUGAAGUCAGGUCUAAAGUUUAAAAAAAUGUGUAAACAUAUUUAAUUAAAAUUAGACUUUAGUAUUUUUCUUGGUAGUUAUUUUGGCUGUCAUAUUGGAUUUGCCAUUAAACAUUUUUAUUUAUUACAAUUAUGAGUGCAAAUUUGAUAUCAGUGUAUAUAUGAUCUCUAAACCUGUAGAGAUUUUUAAUAUGAACAUGCUUGUUAUUAUUUUUACUACAGCAUAAAUAUUUUGUUAAAAAGGUGCCAAUUUUUACUUUUUUGCUUAUAACUUAUUGUUAAUACAUAGUAAUUAUAUACUCACAUUAUUAUACAUUAUUCAUAUGUACAUAUAAGUCUCAGAAACAUAACGAAAUAUAACCAAAUAUAUUAUACAAACCAAUUAUGGAAGAUAGAAAAACUACGGAAAAAGGUAUAUAUUUAUAUAUACGGUAUAUUAUGUAAAAGAGUUAAAAAUUGUAAAUCUUUUUUAAAUAUUUUAAAUUAAGUUUCAUUCUUGGAUUUAAAUUAUAAUGAUAAAAUUGUUAAAAUCAAAGUAAAUUUUUUUAUUACACAGAAUAAUCAUGAAAAUAACAUUAUGGUAGAUUGUGUAACUUGACGAGAAAUGUUAAUAUGCAUAAUUACAUUGCGCAGCAACAACUUUUUUAUUAUAUGUAGUACAUGCACAACAACAAUAUAAAGAUAUUGACAUUUUUUAAAUCGAAUUACAGAAUCGCUACUAGGAUUUAUCAUUUGCCCCGCUAUACAUAUACGUAAUUUAACGUCAUGCCAGGUUAACUGUCGCGUCGAUGUGCAUACGCGGCACACAUAUGGAUGUAUGUCGAAAAAUCAUUUAAAUUCGCAGGAGAAUAAAGACAAAUAUCGAUCAGAGGAAUAUCAUGUAUUACAUUCAAAUGAUAUCCAAAUAAUACUCCCACACUUACACGAAUAUACAAUACGUUGUUCGUGGGGCUCGCAGUGGCGCUAGCGCAGUUGUUUUCGUUUCUUGUUAUCGCUCAUUUGACAAUCUGGUGAUAUCUUUUUUUGAACUCUAAAUGCACUUCGAGCUACGUAGCAUACGUAUGCACAUAUAUGUAUUUGCACUAUGUGGCUCAAAAGCGAUAUGUUGCGUUGUCGCGCAUAAAAUGAAAGCUGGCGAUUAAAGAAAAGUGAGAUAUAUGAUGUGAGCAUUUUACACGUGUUUAAAUAAAUGCGACUUUCUAGGAAAAAGAAAAAUAAACAUACACUCGUUUUACUAUCGGUUUACACUUGCGAUGCUAAUAUCAUGAUGAGAUUCUCAAUGAUAAGUCUUAUUACAAGCAAGAAUUACAAUUUUUUGAAUUUAAAAUGAAAUUUUUAUCGCAUUUAGCUCGCUCUAAGUAUCAUUUAUUGAUGAAACUGUUUAUAUUUACGUUUUUGACACUAUAAUAACAAUAGUUAUUGUUUUAUUUCAUCAUACAACACAUAUCAUCGACGACCAAAUCUUAUCGCGUCAUACGUAUUACAUAUAUUUUUGUUUGAAAAAGAAAAAAAUGAUUAAAAAUUUGUGAAUUUUGCGAGUUUUAUAGAAGUCGCUUUAUGAACGUAAAAAAAGAAAUAAAUAAUUUGAAAUUGUCUUUUGCAAAUAGUGUAUUGCAACAUACUAAUUAAAAAAAUUAUUUUUGAAAAUAAGGUAUCAAAUUUACAGAGAUUAUAGUCAAAAUAAAAUUAAUAAAAAUUUUACCGAUUCUUAACCCUCACAGUAUCGAAUAUUGUAGUAAAGUUGUAAGGAGAUUACAAUCUUACACAUGUUAAUGAGAAUGUUACUGGGAUGUGCCACUAACCUUACAAUAUAACUUAACAUUGUAAUAUUGCUGAAAGGCUAAUAAAACAUUAUUUUAAUAUUCUAGUAAUCUUACGCGUGAUUAUAUUAUUUUUCUCUAUCUAAUAUGCAUAUUUUUUAUACAUAUUUAUAAAAUAAUUUAUUUAUUAGAAAUUAAAUUAAACUUACUCUCUAAAUUUUUUAGAGUAAAAAUCUCACUCGAAAUAUGGAGUGACACACCGAGCCACUCAAAUUGUAGUUACUUCUCACUCUUAUAGAGUGAAUUCUUUCAGUCUUUAUCGAGAAGUGAACUUUUUUACUUUUUAUUUUGGAGUAAAUGUUUUUUUGGAGUGAAUAUUUCACUCGUAAUUGAAGAGUCACUUUACUGUGCCGCCGCGCGCUUGCCAUCCAGUUAUAUUAGUGCGUGGCGUCGCCGAAAGGCGGCUUAGCUCUCUUGGGAGUAAGAUGCAGUCGAUGCGUUACAUAGACCACCGGCAACGCGAUUAAAGCAAGCAAAGAUCAGUUUUCUUUGCUGCGAGAGAAGCCGCCUAUUGGCGGAUGAACGUGCAAAGGUGUGGCUAAGGAUCGCUACAUAAUGUUUUUACGGAAUGUAUUUCGAUACAGCUAGGUUAUAUGGUUUACUUAUUUUAAUUGAGUGAGUGGAUUCACUCCAAGAAAAGUAAAACGUUUACUCCAGUCGAGCAAUACUUGCAUUUUAAUCGAGUAAAAAGUUUACUCUAAAGUUUAAGUGAAACAUUCCAUCUUAUAAAAAAUGAGACGUUACUCCAUUUCGAAUAACAGUAUUUUCACCAUUGUUUAGAGUGAAAUUUUGCUCUUUUGAAGUAACAUUUUACAUCAAGAAAUUGAGAGUUAUAAAUAACGAACAUUAAAAAAAAUUUCUGUAAUAUUGCAUUAAGGUGGUUCUUGCAUUUAGGUCAAAUGUAGAUAGCCCAGAAAAAAGACAUUAAAUAAAAGAUUACCAAUUCUAGAAUGUGUCUGCAAAAUUUCAGACUUUUUUUACCGUUUGGUUCUGGAAAUAUAUGUCCGAAAACUUUACCAAUUUUACAUGGUGAUAAUAGGGAAAGGGGAAUCAGAUUGCACAUUCAUGGAAUAUGUUCAUACUUCUUUAGAUGAACGAAUAAAAAACUAUUUAAUCUUUGCAAUAAAAAUUUCUAAAGAUACUGACGCGACUAAACUGAUUAAUUGUACCGUAUAUAAAUAAAACGAAAUUUUUGACAAACUUUCGGCAACUUUUGACACGUCACGAGAGUCAUGGCGAACGUUUUGAAUGGCUGCUUGGCAACGUCGCACGCGUCACUGACGCACAAGGCGCAUGUCCUAUCAUUUUCAUGUCCUACCUUUCUUCGUUUCGUUUCAGAAUGACCUUUGCGUCGAGGCUCAUGUUUACACGCACUAAUAGUUUGGUUAUGACGAUACACCAGACACUCCGGCGACCAAAGUACUACAAGAACCAUCUUAAUCCUUAAUGUACACAUUUCCGAAUAAUUGAAUACUGUACACAAGGAAUCUGCUGGACCACAACGAUUAAAACAGUUGCCACGUAUGUUGUAUUGGAAAAUUUGAUUUAAAAAAAUAUAAGGAUAUUCUUGAAAUCGUAGAAAAAGGUUCAAUAAUUUUUUUAAAGAAUUUUAAUAUUUACAUAAUGAAAAAA
rnacentral:lncRNA from 1 species